GGGAAUGUCUAAUUGACAUCUGACUGUUUUCCUUUUUGAAAACAAUCAAAUUUCUUGUCCAAUGACAACGUUACAGCUGUACUACCAGGGCAGUCAUCAAAAAAAGGAGAAAAUCAACACGCUAACGGGUCGGACAACCAUCCAACCCGCUUUCUCCAGCAAAACAAAACCUCCACCUAUUCAGGGACCACAACAUUACUUUCUGGAAGCUUGCAAACCACACAACAGAUCAAAAAACGCUAUACAAACCACGCAACAGAUCAAAAAACGCUAUCCACAGGUCAGCAACUCCUCUGCAUCAUCUCUUCUUUCACCUCUUAUGCUCUUACAUUGACAGUUUCACAAGAUUUUCCUUCAUUCUACUCUGAAACAUCGGGGAGAGAUCAACAUCAGAACCGCAACAAAAAUUCCACUGUAAAUUCCUCUAAAUUCACUAUGUAAAUGGUCUUGUAUCCUCUAAAUUUACAGUGUAAAUUUCUCCUAAAUUCCAGAGUAAAAGUAGUUGCAAACAAAAUGAAGUAAUUACAAAUGCAAGAACAUAUACACUGCAAAAAACACAGUAAGUACAGUGUAAAUUCGUCCUAAAUUCCAGAGUAAAAAUAGUUGCAAACAAAAGGAAGUAAUUACAGUGGAAGAACAUAGUAAAUUGCAGUCCAAAAUUUACAGUAAGUACACUGUAAAUUCCUCCUAAAUUACAGUGCAUUUUAAUUACUUCAUUUCUGAAAUGACAAAAAACAAAAUAAAGAAAAAGCCAAAAUAACAAAAGAAAGAAAGAACAUGAAAGACAAAAUGGAACAUACUUGAUUGAGAUAGAACUUCAAAAGAGCUUUGUCGAACCCUCCUUCGUCUCGAGAUAGAUCCUGCAAACAAAAAAAGAAAUAAAACAGAUCAAACAAAAUUAAAUCAAAACUAAAAAAUAAAAAAUAAAACAAUAAAGAAGAGAAACGUAAAUAAGUAACUACGGGAG
rnacentral:lncRNA from 1 species